rnacentral:rRNA from 1 species
UACGAAGGGGGCUAGCGUUGUUCGGAAUUACUGGGCGUAAAGCGCACGUAGGCGGAUACUUAAGUCAGGGAUGAAAUCCCGGGGCUCAACCCCGGAACUGCCUUUGAUACUGGGUAUCUCGAGUCCGAGAGAGGUGAGUGGAAUUCCGAGUGUAGAGGUGAAAUUCGUAGAUAUUCGGAGGAACACCAGUGGCGAAGGCGGCUCACUGGCUCGGUACUGACGCUGAGGUGCGAAAGCGUGGGGAGCAAACAGGG